rnacentral:rRNA from 1 species
AGGACGAACGCUGGCGGCGUGCUUAACGACAUGCAAGUCGAGCGGAAAGGCCCUUCGGGGUACUCGAGCGGCGAACGGGUGAGUAACACGUGAGUAAUCUGCCCCUAGCUCUGGGAUAGCUCCGGGAAACCGGGAUUAAUACCAGAUACGACCACUUUAGACAUCUGUUGUGGUGGAAAGAAUUUUGGCUAGGGAUGAGCUCGCGGCCUAUCAGCUUGUUGGUGAGGUAACGGCUCACCAAGGCGACGACGGGUAGCCGGCCUGAGAGGGCGACCGGCCACACUGGGACUGAGACACGGCCCAGACUCCUACGGGAGGCAGCAGUGGGGAAUAUUGCGCAAUGGGCGAAAGCCUGACGCAGCGACGCCGCGUGGGGGAUGAAGGCCUUCGGGUUGUAAACCCUUUCAGCAGGACGAAGCGAAGUGACGGUACCUGCAGAAGAAGCGCCGGCUAACUACGCGCCAGCAGCCGC